rnacentral:rRNA from 1 species
CAGCUGCCGCGGUAAUACGGAGGGUGCAAGCGUUAUCCGGAAUAAUUGGGCGUAAAGCGUCCGUAGGCGGUUUUUUAAGUCGAAUGUUAAAUCUUGAAGCCCAACUUUAAGGCUGUAUUUGAAACUGAAAAACUAGAGACUUCCAGAGGCAUGCGGAAUUCUGUGUGUAGGGGUAAAAUCCGUAGAUACACAGAGGAACACCAAAAGCGAAGGCAGCAUGCUGGGGAAGUUCUGACGCUCAUGGACGAAAGCGUGGGUAGCGAACGGGAUUAGAUACCCCGGUAGUCCACGCCGUAAACUUUGGACACUAGGUGUUGGAGGGCUCGACCCCUUCAGUGCCGACGCUAACGCAUUAAGUGUCCCGCCUGGGGAGUACGAUCGCAAGAUUAAAACUCAAAGGAAUAGACGGGGACCCACACAAGCGGUGGAGCACCUGGCUUAAUUCGAGAAUGAGCGAGGAACCUUACCUGGGUUUGACAUCCUGAGAAUUUGCCAGAAAUGGCGAAGUGCCUUACGGAACUCAGUGACAGGUGCUGCAUGGUUGUCCUCAGCUCGUGCCUUGAGGUGUUCGGUUAAGUCCGUGAACGAGCGCAACCCAUGUCCUGUGUUGUAUUUUUCACAGGAGACUGCCGAUUCAAAGUCGGAGGAAGGUAUGGAUGACGUCAAAUCAGCAUGGCCCUUAUACCCAGGGCUGCACAGGUGCUACAAUGGCUGGUACAAUGGGUAGCAAUGUCGCAAGGCGGAGCCAAUCCUUUAAAGCCAGUCUAAGUUCGAAUUGAGGGCUGCAACUCGCCCUCAUGAAGUUGGAAUCGCUAGUAACCGUGGAUCAGCAAUGGCGCGGUGAAUGUGUUCCUGGGUCUUGUACUCACCGCCCGUCACACUACGGAAGGUGGGGGCGCCCGAAGUACCCUUAGCUUUUAGCGGGGUCCUAAGGUGAAACCACUGACUGGAGUGAAGUCGUAACAAGGUAGCCGUA